UGCGCGGUCACCGCACGGCGGCCGGCGCGGCCGGCGUCACCGGCGCCGGCGGCGGCGGCGGCGGCGGCGGCGCCCAGCACACGCUCAGCACCGUGCCCAACCUGUCCACCUCCGAUCUCACGUACGGCAGGGCUGCCAGCUCGACGUGGAAGAAGUAGUACAUGUUGCCGGCGACGAGCAUGGCCGAGGUCGUCCGGCCAGCCGAUGCCCGCAUACAUAUAACUAGUGCUGCCCCGACUCGGGCCGGACACACACCUCAGCUUUGCCCGCCGCCGCCGGGUGUCGGGCGGCGCACGUGCACUAACCGGCGAGGCGGUCACGUACUUGGUGCAGUGUUUUAUAAUCGUGAUACGUGGACUUUGUACUGACGGUGAACCAGCGCUUGCUUAUUGAUACCACGUGGUCUCGGCUGUGCGGUCAGCGCCCAUCCCACUGGGGUGUUGGCCGGCGGGGCGGGGCCCAGCGGCGCCGGGCGGGCCCGGCCGCGCGGCCGCGGCAGGCCACGCGCCGCCGCCGGGCCGCAGCCGCCAGCGCUUCUGUCCGCCGCCGGCGAGCGGGCCGGCACGAGCGGUCUUCACCAUUGUUACCGCGGCGCGAUAGUUGUUUGCGUUUCCGGGUGUGUCAAAUCGAGCUGCGCGGGAGGACCGGCUGAUGUGUGCGCGUGUGUGGGCGUGUGUGCGGAUUUGCCAGCUGUUUGCCGACAUACGCGGGGCUGGUGGAACAGAGGCACUUGAUAAUGAUUUGUCCGCAUGAAAUUGUGAACUGAUCUUCCGCAUCUUCUCUUUUAAUUGUAAAAUUGCGAAUCUUUGUCCUGCGAAUUUACGUUUUCCCGCUGCGAUUA